rnacentral:rRNA from 1 species
GAUGAACGCUAGCGGCAGGCUUAAUACAUGCAAGUCGAGGGGCAUCAAGGUACACGAAAGUGUAUUGUUGGCGACCGGCGGACGGGUGAGUAAUAGGUAGGUAACCUACCUCAUACUGAGGCAUAGCUGGGAGAAAUUCCAGGUAAUUCCUCAUGAGGUUAUAUGACACAUGUGAUAUAAUCAAAGGUAUCGCAAGGUACUGGUAUGAGAUGGGCUUACUGACCAUUAGCUAGUUGGUGAGAUAAGAGCUCACCAAGGCGAAGAUGGUUAGGGGUUUUGAGAGAGAGAUCCCCCACAUUGGAACUGAGAUACGGUCCAGACUCCUACGGGAGGCAGCAGUAGGGAAUAUUGGGCAAUGGGCGGAAGCCUGACCCAGCCAUGCCGCGUGAAGGAAGACGGCCUUAUGGGUUGUAAACUUCUUUACUAUGCGACUAACUAGAUUUACGAGAUAAUUCUAUAGAAUGUAGCAUAGACAAAAAGCAACCGGA